UACGUAGGGGGCGAGCGUUGUCCGGAUUCAUUGGGCGUAAAGAGCUCGUAGGCGGCUUGGCAAGUCGGGUGUGAAAACUUCAGGCUCAACCUGGAGCGGCCACUCGAUACUGCCAUGGCUUGAGUCCGGUAGGGGACCACGGAAUUCCUGGUGUAGCGGUGAAAUGCGCAGAUAUCAGGAGGAACACCGGUGGCGAAGGCGGUGGUCUGGGCCGGAACUGACGCUGAGGAACGAAAGCCAGGGGAGCAAACGGG
rnacentral:rRNA from 1 species